rnacentral:rRNA from 1 species
CCAGACUCCUACGGGAGGCAGCAGUGGGGAAUAUUGCACAAUGGGGGAAACCCUGAUGCAGCGACGCCGCGUGAGUGAAGAAGUAUUUCGGUAUGUAAAGCUCUAUCAGCAGGGAAGAAAAUGACGGUACCUGACUAAGAAGCCCCGGCUAACUACGUGCCAGCAGCCGCGGUAAUACGUAGGGGGCAAGCGUUAUCCGGAUUUACUGGGUGUAAAGGGAGCGUAGACGGCAUGGCAAGUCAGAUGUGAAAGCCCGGGGCUCAACCCCGGGACUGCAUUUGAAACUGUCAGGCUGGAGUGCAGGAGAGGUAAGUGGAAUUCCUAGUGUAGCGGUGAAAUGCGUAGAUAUACGGAGGAACACCAGUGGCGAAGGCGGAUUGCUGGACAGUAACUGACGUUGAGGCUCGAAAGCGUGGGGAGCAAACAGGAUUAGAUACCCCUGUACA